CCCUUCGAUGUUCGGAGCUGCACGCGCGCUACACUGUGGGUGGCAGCAUGUUAGCUUGCCUCGCUCGCAAGAGUGGGGUAAUCGUUUGAAAAUCCCACGUGAUUGGGAUAGGGACUUGUAAUUAUUUCCCUUGAACGAGGAAUCCCUAGUAAGUGCAGGUCAUCAGCUUGCGCUGAUUACGUCCCUGCCCUUUGUACACACCGCCCGUCGCACCUACCGAUUGAAUGGUCCGGUGAAAUCUCCGGACUGGCGUGAGUCGGAGCAAUCUGACAAACACCGGAAAGUUGAUUAAACCUUACCAUUUAGAGGAAGGUGAAGUCGUAACA
rnacentral:rRNA from 1 species